rnacentral:rRNA from 1 species
CAGCAGCCGCGGUAAUACGGAGGGGGCUAGCGUUGUUCGGAAUUACUGGGCGUAAAGCGCACGUAGGCGGCUUGGUAAGUUAGAGGUGAAAGCCCGGAGCUCAACUCCGGAAUUGCCUUUAAGACUGCCGAGCUAGCAGGUGAGAGAGGUAAGUGGAAUUCCGAGUGUAGAGGUGAAAUUCGUAGAUAUUCGGAAGAACACCAGUGGCGAAGGCGGCUUACUGGCUCAUACUGGACGCUGAGGUGCGAAAGCGUGGGGAGCAAACAGGAUUAGAUACCCGUGUAGUCCCUGUCUCUUAUAC